rnacentral:rRNA from 1 species
UACGUAGGGGGCAAGCGUUGUCCGGAAUCAUUGGGCGUAAAGAGCGUGUAGGCGGCCAGGUAAGUCCGCUGUGAAAACUCGAGGCUCAACUUCGAGCUGUCGGUGGAAACUUUCUGGCUAGAGUCCGGAAGAGGAGAAUGGAAUUCCUGGUGUAGCGGUGAAAUGCGCAGAUAUCAGGAAGAACACCCGUGGCGAAGGCGGUUCUCUGGGACGGUACUGACGCUGAGACGCGAAAGCGUGGGGAGCGAACAGG